CCACUGAAAGAUAACAAACAGCAUGAAAAUCCUACAGCCUCUACCCGGGGAGAGGAGGAAUGGCAGCGAUGCCAGAGGAAGGAGCUCGCCAUACAGACAUUCACUACCUCGAGAUAAUUAAAGAUUUCAGGACAAGGAGCUGAGGGUGAAGUCUGACAGUCCCAACAGGGGAAACCAUGACUUGCACAAAGGAUGCACCUAAAUUUAGAUGUGUCCGUGUGAGCCGGGACUACACUGCAGCCGCAGCAUUUCCAGAGGGAAUAAAGCCUCUGGUUCUCACCUACUUCAUUACUAAAAUAUUUUCCUCUCAGAUUUA